rnacentral:rRNA from 1 species
ACUCAAAUGAAUAGACGGGGGCCCGCACAAGCGGUGGAGUAUGUGGUUUAAUUCGAAGCAACGCGAAGAACCUUACCAAGGCUUGACAUCCCGUUGACCGGCGUAGAGAUACGCCUUCCCUUCGGGGCAAUGGUGACAGGUGGUGCAUGGUUGUCGUCAGCUCGUGCCGUGAGGUGUUGGGUUAAGUCCCGCAACGAGCGCAACCCUUGUUUUCAGUAGCCAGCGGUUCGGCCGGGCACUCUGGAAAGACUGCCGUGGAUAACACGGAGGAAGGUGGGGAUGACGUCAAAUCAUCAUGCCCCUUAUGUCUUGGGCUACACACGUACUACAAUGGGCGCGACAAAGUGAGGCGACGGCGCAAGCCUAAGCAAAGCACAAAAAAGCGCUCUCAGUUCGGAUUGUGGGCUGCAACCCGCCCGCAUGAAGUUGGAAUCGCUAGUAAUCGCGGAUCAGCAUGCCGCGGUGAAUACGUUCCCGGGCCUUGUACACACCGCCCGU